rnacentral:rRNA from 1 species
GGGUGAGUACGCGUAGGGAUCUAUCCACGGGUGGGGGAUAACAUCGGGAAACUGAUGCUAAUACCGCAUGAUACCUGAGGGUCAAAGGCGCAAGUCGCCUGUGGAGGAACCUGCGUUCGAUUAGCUUGUUGGUGGGGUAAAGGCCUACCAAGGCGAUGAUCGAUAGCUGGUCUGAGAGGAUGAUCAGCCACACUGGGACUGAGACACGGCCCAGACUCCUACGGGAGGCAGCAGUGGGGAAUAUUGGACAAUGGGCGAAAGCCUGAUCCAGCAAUGCCGCGUGUGUGAAGAAGGUCUUCGGAUUGUAAAGCACUUUCGACGGGGACGAUGAUGACGGUACCCGUAGAAGAAGCCCCGGCUAACUUCGUGCCAGCAGCCGCGGUAAUACGAAGGGGGCUAGCGUUGCUCGGAAUGACUGGGCGUAAAGGGCGCGUAGGCGGUUUACACAGUCAGAUGUGAAAUUCCAGGGCUUAACCUUGGGGCUGCAUUUGAUACGUGUA